GCAGUAGUAGCGUAGUGGUGUGAGUAUUGGACUAUGGCUCUGGAGAUCAGGGUUCGAUUCCCCACUUGGUCA